rnacentral:rRNA from 1 species
CACAUCCAAGGAAGGCAGCAGGCACGCAAAUUACCCAAUCCCAGCUCUGGGAGGAGUGACGAAAAUAACAAUGCGGGACUCUACCGAGUCUGCGUAAUUGGAAUGAGCACACUUUAAAUCCUUUAGCAACAACCAAUUGGAGGGCAAGUCUGGUGCCAGCAGCCGCGGUAAUUCCAGCUCCAAUAGCGUAUAUUAAAGUUGUUGCGGUUAAAAAGCUCGUAGUUCGAUUUGAGUUGCGGACUGGUGUGGGAGGUCACCGCCCGGUGCUUGCCCGCCAGGUUCCGAACAGCUUCCGUGAGUGGAAGCCAAGCCGGUUCUGCCGGGGUGCUCUUUACCGAGUGUCCCGCGCGGCCGGCCAGUUCACCUUGAAUAAAUGAGAGUGCUCAAAGCAGGCUACUCUGGAAUACAAUGCCCGAAUGUUAGCUGCAUGGAAUGAUGGAAGAUGAUCUCGGUUGCAUUUUGUUGGUGGUGGCAGCCAGAGGUAAUGAUAAAGAGGGACUGUCGGGGGCAUCCGUACUACGACGCGAGAGGUGAAAUUCAGUGACCGUCGUAGGACGAACAACAGCGAAAGCAUUUGCCAAGAAUGUCUUCGUUGAUCAAGAACGAAAGUUAGAGGAUCGAAGGCGAUCAGAUACCGCCCUAGUUCUAACCCUAAACGAUGCUGACUAGCAAUUCGCCGUCGUUAUUCCCAUGACGUGGCGAGACGCCCCCGGGAAACCUCAAGUCUUUGAGUUCCGGGGGUAGUAUGGUUGCAAAAGUGAAACUUAAAGGAAUUGACGGAAGGGCACCACCAGGAGUGGAGCCUGCGGCUUAAUUUGACUCAACACGGGGAAGCUCACCAGGCCCGGACACCAGAAGGAUUGACAGAUUAAGAGCUCUUUCUCGAUUUGGUGGGUGGUGGUGCAUGGCCGUUCUUAGUUGGUGGAGUGAUUUGUCUGGUUAAUUC